GUCCUUUUGAUUUAUAUAUAAGGUCUAGCCUGCCCACUGAAAGUUUUGAAUGGCCGCAGUAAUUUGACUGUGCAAAGGUAGCAUAAUCAUUAGUUUUUUAAUUAAAAGCUUGUAUGAAUGGUUGGACGAAAUAAAAGCUGUCUCUAUUUAAUUUAUUGUAGAAUUUAAUUUUUAAGUUAAAAAGCUUAAAUUUAGUUUAAAGACGAGAAGACCCUAUAGAUCUUAAUAUUAAUUUUAAUAAUUUUAUUUAGUAAUUUUUUAUUAUUUUAUUAUAAUUAGUAUUUUAUUGGGGUAAUAUAAAGAUUAAAAGAAUUCUUUAAUUUUAUAACAUUGAUUUAUGAUUAUUUUGAUCCUUUUGUAAAGAUUAUUAGAUUAAGUUACCUUAGGGAUAACAGCGUAAUUUUUUUAGAGAGUUCAUAUCGAUAAAAAAGUUUGCGACCUCGAUGUUGGAUUAAAAAUUAUCCCAGGUGCAGAAGUUUGGGAUUUUGGUCUGUUCGACCAUUAAAUUUUU
rnacentral:rRNA from 1 species